rnacentral:rRNA from 1 species
AUAAUACUCCAUAGAUUAGAGACACUGGAAUGUUCUUUAGUCGAAAGUUCUGGCGCCUUAGGAUGGAUCUGCGGUCGAUUAGGUUGUUGUUGGGGUAACGGCCCAACAAGCCUGUAAUCGAUACGGGUUGUGGGAGCAAGAGCCCGGAGAUGGAAUCUGAGACACGAUUCCAGGCCCUACGGGGCGCAGCAGGCGCGAAAACUUUACAAUGCAGGAAACUGUGAUAAGGGAACUCCGAGUGCCCGUAUACGCGGGCUGUCCAGGUGUUUAAAAAUCAUCUGAAGAAAGGGCCGGGCAAGACCGGUGCCAGCCGCCGCGGUAAUACCGGCGGCUCGAGUGGUGGCCACUAUUAUUGGGCUUAAAGCGUCCGUAGCUGGACCGAUAAGUCUCUUGGGAAAUCCGCCGGCUCAACCGGCGGGCGUCUAAGGGAUACUGUUAGUCUAGGGACCGGGAGAGGUGAGAGGUACUCCGGGGGUAGGAGUGAAAUCCUGUAAUCCCCGGGGGACCACCGAUGGCGAAGGCAUCUCACCAGAACGGCUCCGACAGUGAGGGACCAAAGCUGGGGGAGCGAACCGGAUUAGAUACCCGGGUAGUCCCAGCCGUAAACUAUGCGCGUUAGGUGU